GACGAACGCUGGCGGCGUGCUUAACACAUGCAAGUCGAACGGAAAGGCCCUGCUUUUGUGUGGUGCUCGAGUGGCGAACGGGUGAGUAACACGUGAGUAACCUGCCCUUGACUUUGGGAUAACUUCAGGAAACUGGGGCUAAUACCGGAUAGGAGCUCCUGCUGCUUGGUGGGGGUUGGAAAGGUUCGGCGGUUGGGGAUGGACUCGCGGCUUAUCAGCUUGUUGGUGGGGUAGUGGCUUACCAAGGCUUUGACGGGUAGCCGGCCUGAGAGGGUGACCGGCCACAUUGGGACUGAGAUACGGCCCGGACUCCUACGGGAGGCAGGAGUGGGGGAUAUUGCACAAUGGGCGGAAGCCUGAUGCAGCAACGCCGCGUGCGGGAUGACGGCCUUCGGGUUGUAACCCGCUUUAGCCUGUGACGAAGCGUGAGUGACGGUAAUGGGUAAAGAAGCACCGGCUAACUACGUG
rnacentral:rRNA from 1 species